AACGCGAAGAACCUUACCUGGCCUUGACAUGCAAGUAGUAGAAGGAUGAAAGUCUGACGAUCCCGCAAGGGAAGCUUGCACAGGUGCUGCAUGGCUGUCGUCAGCUCGUGUCGUGAGAUGUUGGGUUAAGUCCCGCAACGAGCGCAACCCCCGUCGCAUGUUGCCAGCAUUUAGUUGGGGACUCAUGCGAGACUGCCGGUGACAAACCGGAGGAAGGUGGGGAUGACGUCAAGUCAUCAUGCCCCUUAUGUCCAGGGCUACACACGUGCUACAUUGGCGCAUACAGAGGGUUGCGAUACCGCGAGGUGGAGCGAAUCCCUUAAAGUGCGUCUCGGUUCGGAUUGCAGGCUGAAAUUCGCCUGCAUGAAGGCGGAGUUGCUAGUAAUCGCGGAUCAGCACUGCCGCGGUGAAUACGUUCCCGGGCCUUGUACACACCGACUGUAC
rnacentral:rRNA from 1 species